GGAUUAGAUACCCUGGUAGUCCAUGCCGUAAACGGUGGGCGCUAGGUGUGGGGACCUUCCACGGUUCCUGCGCCGUAGCUAACGCAUUAAGCGCCCCGCCUGGGGAGUACGGCCGCAAGGCUAAAACUCAAAGGAAUUGACGGGGGCCCGCACAAGCGGCGGAGCAUGUGGAUUAAUUCGAUGCAACGCGAAGAACCUUACCUGGGCUUGACAUACACCGGACCGGACUAGAGAUAGUCCUUCCCUUGUGGCUGGUGUACAGGUGGUGCAUGGUUGUCGUCAGCUCGUGUUG
rnacentral:rRNA from 1 species